GGUCGCUUAGCUCAGUUGGUUAGAGCGUAAGUUGGGCCACGCACGCCAAGGUCGCGAGUUCGACCCUCGUAGUGACCA
rnacentral:tRNA from 1 species